CUUUAUUCAAAUAGAUCGCACAGCAGAGGGACCUCCAAGGCAGACAUCAGGAGAAACGGAGUCAAAGCAAGAUGUGCCCCAGAGACCUCCUUGGGCGAGUGGAUUAGGCAACUCUAAGAGGGCUAAACAAGAGGAUCCAAGAAAUAGAGGCAUAGAAGAGGCCCACACGGCUUCUCCGGAAAAACAUCCUCACUCGAAGGUAACGCUUUUAGACUUUUAGCUUGAAGUAAGAACUACAGAUUUUAUCGUGUGUAUGUUAUGUUUUAAUCAACUCUAAUCCAAACCCAUUCAGCCUCCAGUU
rnacentral:lncRNA from 1 species